CCUACGGGAGGCAGCAGUGAGGAAUAUUGGUCAAUGGACGAGAGUCUGAACCAGCCAAGUAGCGUGAAGGAUGACUGCCCUAUGGGUUGUAAACUUCUUUUAUAUGGGAAUAAAACGUUCCACGUGUGGGAUUUUGUAUGUACCAUAUGAAUAAGGAUCGGCUAACUCCGUGCCAGCAGCCGCGGUAAUACGGAGGAUCCGAGCGUUAUCCGGAUUUAUUGGGUUUAAAGGGAGCGUAUGUGGAUUGUUAAGUCAGUUGUGAAAGUUUGCGGCUCAACCGUAAAAUUGCAGUUGAAACUGGCAGUCUUGAGUACAGUAGAGGUGGGCGGAAUUCGUGGUGUAGCGGUGAAAUGCUUAGAUAUCACGAAGAACUCCGAUUGCGAAGGCAGUUCACUGGACUGCAACUGACACUGAGGCUCGAAAGUGUGGGUAUCAAACAGGAUUAGAUACCCCAGUAGUC
rnacentral:rRNA from 1 species